GUGUCAGCCGCCGCGGUAAUACCAGCUCUCCGAGUGGUGGGGAUGAUUAUUGGGCCUAAAGCAUUCGUAGCCGGCUGGACAAGUCCCCUGUUAAAUCCAACGAUCCAAUCGUUGGUCUGCGGGGGAUACUGUCCGGCUUGGGGGCGGGAGAGGCCGCCGGUAUUUCCGGGGUAGGGGUGAAAUCCUAUAAUCCCGGGAGGACCACCAGUGGCGAAGGCUGUCGGCUAGAACGCGCCCGACGGUGAGGGAUGAAAGCUGGGGGAGCGAACCGGAUUAGAUACCCGGGUAGUCCCAGCCGUAAACGAUGCAGGCUAGGUGUUAGGGCGGCUACGUGCCGCUCUAGUGCCGCAGGGAAGCCGUUAAGCCUGCCGCCUGGGGAGUACGGUCGCAAGGCUGAAACUCAAAUGAAUUGGCGGGG
rnacentral:rRNA from 1 species